rnacentral:sRNA from 1 species
AAGAGAGUGGAGCCUCCGCGCUCGAACU